rnacentral:rRNA from 1 species
GACGAAGGGGGCUAGCGUUGUUCGGAAUUACUGGGCGUAAAGCGUGUGUAGGUGGUUGUCAUAGUCAGGUGUGAAAGCCUUGAGCUCAACUCAAGAAAUGCACUUGAUACUGGGCAGCUAGAGGACCGGAGAGGAUAGUGGAAUUCCCAGUGUAGUGGUGAAAUACGUAGAGAUUGGGAAGAACACCAGUGGCGAAGGCGGCUAUCUGGACGGUUUCUGACACUAAGACACGAAAGCGUGGGUAGCAAACAGG